GCAGCAAGGUCUCGUGCCGGAUGAUGAUGUCAAUAUUAUGAGACCUCUGUUCCCUUCUGAUCUGAGUCUAUUAAUUUUAUUAUCAGCAUCAAGGACUCUGUGAUUUGAUCUCAAGUCACAUAUAGACUAAGUGUUUCCCCAAAGAGCUUUUGAAAGUGAUUUCCUUUCUCAAGGUCAGGGCAGGAGGAUCUCUUGUCUUGUGCAUUUGCCAUCCAAAGGCUGGAUCAAAGUGAACACAGCCAAGAAUACCAGAGUAAACAACAGGGAGAAAUGGCUGCUGUGGCAGCCCCUGGAGCUGCCGCAAUCCUGGGAGAUUUCAUCUGAUCAUCGUCUAUGCACAGGACAGAACUAAGCCUGUGACUCCAGCUUGCGUCAAGUUGACAUAAAACUAGCCAGCACAGUAGAUUCUCUCUGCCUCGUGUUUAUGGUUGAGAAUGUGAUCCUCUGUUUCCUGUUCUGGCCACGAUUCCCGCCUGCUGUCACCAUGAUGGAGUCUAAAUCCUUCGGAAUAAUAAACCAAAACAAACUCUU